CCUGGCGCGGGGAGAGAACAGGAAACUUUGAGAGCAGCUAAGUCACACUGCAAGGGAGAACCCGGGUUUUCCCACUUUUCCAUCAGUUCCUUUACAGAAGGUUCUCUGCAUUUACAUCUUCUUACUCUUGGGAGAUCUGGG